AAUCCAUGUUGUGGGUAAUGUCGAACCAAGUCUUUGUUACCUCUCCCACGCUUCAUAGAGUGACUCAAAAUCAUUUUGCUUGAACUGACCAAUCUCACUCCUGAGUUG